rnacentral:rRNA from 1 species
GACGAACGCUGGCGGCGUGCUUAACACAUGCAAGUCGAACGGUAAGGCCCUUCGGGGUACACGAGUGGCGAAUGGGUGAGUAACACGUGGGUGAUCUGCCCUGCACUUCGGGAUAAGCCUGGGAAACUGGGUCUAAUACCGGAUAGGACCACGCGCUUCACGGUGUGUGGUGGAAAGCUUUUGCGGUGUGGGAUGGGCCCGCGGCGUAUCAGCUUGUUGGUGGGGUAAGGGCCUACCAAGGCGACGACGGGUAGCCGGCCUGAGAGGGUGACCGGCCGCACUGGGACUGAGAUACGGCCCAGGCUCCUACGGGAGGUAGCAUUGGGGAAUUUUGCACAAUGGGCGCAAGCGUGAUGCAGCGACGCCGGGUGAGGGAUGACGGCCUUCGGGUUGUAAACCUCUUUCAGUAGGGACGAAGCGCAAGUGACGGUACCUACAGAAGAAGGACCGGCCAACUACGUGCCAGCCGCCGCAGUAA